rnacentral:rRNA from 1 species
GGUUAAGCGACUAAGCGUACACGGUGGAUGCCCUGGCAGUCAGAGGCGAUGAAGGGCGUGCUAAUCUGCGAUAAGCGCCGGUAAGGUGAUAUGAACCGUUAUAACCGGCGAUACCCGAAUGGGGAAACCCAGUGUGAUUCGUCACACUAUCAUUAACUGAAUCCAUAGGUUAAUGAGGCGAACCGGGGGAACUGAAACAUCUAAGUACCCCGAGGAAAAGAAAUCAACCGAGAUUCCCCCAGUAGCGGCGAGCGAACGGGGAGGAGCCCAGAGCCUGAAUCAGCAUGUGUGUUAGUGGAAGCGUCUGGAAAGGUGCGCGAUACAGGGUGACAGCCCCGUACACAAAAGCGCAUGUGCUGUGAGCUCGAUGAGUAGGGCGGGACACGUGGUAUCCUGUCUGAAUAUGGGGGGACCAUCCUCCAAGGCUAAAUACUCCUGACUGACCGAUAGUGAACCAGUACCGUGAGGGAAAGGCGAAAAGAACCCCGGCGAGGGGAGUGAAAAAGAACCUGAAACCGUGUACGUACAAGCAGUGGGAGCACAGGUUUACCUGUGUGACUGCGUACCUUUUGUAUAAUGGGUCAGCGACUUAUAUUCUGUAGCAAGGUUAACCGUAUAGGGGAGCCGUAGGGAAACCGAGUCUUAACCGGGCGUUAAGUUGCAGGGUAUAGACCCGAAACCCGGUGAUCUAGCCAUGGGCAGGUUGAAGGUUGGGUAACACUAACUGGAGGACCGAACCGACUAAUGUUGAAAAAUUAGCGGAUGACCUGUGGCUGGGGGUGAAAGGCCAAUCAAACCGGGAGAUAGCUGGUUCUCCCCGAAAGCUAUUUAGGUAGCGCCUCGUGAAUUCAUCUCCGGGGGUAGAGCACUGUUUCGGCUAGGGGCCAUCCCGGCUUACCAACCCGAUGCAAACUGCGAAUACCGGAGAAUGUUAUCACGGGAGACACACGGCGGGUGCUAACGUCCGUCGUGAAGAGGGAAACAACCCAGACCGCCAGCUAAGGUCCCAAAGUCAUGGUUAAGUGGGAAACGAUGUGGGAAGGCCCAGACAGCCAGGAUGUUGGCUUAGAAGCAGCCAUCAUUUAAAGAAAGCGUAAUAGCUCACUGGUCGAGUCGGCCUGCGCGGAAGAUGUAACGGGGCUAAACCAUGCACCGAAGCUGCGGCAGCGAACGUAUCACCCAAGACAACUUUACGGAGUUGACGAUUGACGGAGCGAAGCGACGUCAAAGCGUUCAUUAAAGUCGAGUUGGCUUAGGGAUACGUUCGUUGGGUAGGGGAGCGUUCUGUAAGCCUGUGAAGGUGUGUCGUGAGGCAUGCUGGAGGUAUCAGAAGUGCGAAUGCUGACAUAAGUAACGAUAAAGCGGGUGAAAAGCCCGCUCGCCGGAAGACCAAGGGUUCCUGUCCAACGUUAAUCGGGGCAGGGUGAGUCGACCCCUAAGGCGAGGCCGAAAGGCGUAGUCGAUGGGAAACGGGUUAAUAUUCCCGUACUUGGUGUUACUGCGAAGGGGGGACGGAGAAGGCUAUGUUGGCCGGGCGACGGUUGUCCCGGUUUAAGCGUGUAGGUGUGUGUUCCAGGUAAAUCCGGUUCACUUUAACACUGAGGCGUGACGACGAGGCACUACGGUGCUGAAGCAACAAAUGCCCUGCUUCCAGGAAAAGCCUCUAAGCAUCAGGUAACACGAAAUCGUACCCCAAACCGACACAGGUGGUCAGGUAGAGAAUACCAAGGCGCUUGAGAGAACUCGGGUGAAGGAACUAGGCAAAAUGGUGCCGUAACUUCGGGAGAAGGCACGCUGACACGUAGGUGAAGUGAUUUACUCAUGGAGCUGAAGUCAGUCGAAGAUACCAGCUGGCUGCAACUGUUUAUUAAAAACACAGCACUGUGCAAACACGAAAGUGGACGUAUACGGUGUGACGCCUGCCCGGUGCCGGAAGGUUAAUUGAUGGGGUCAGCGCAAGCGAAGCUCCUGAUCGAAGCCCCGGUAAACGGCGGCCGUAACUAUAACGGUCCUAAGGUAGCGAAAUUCCUUGUCGGGUAAGUUCCGACCUGCACGAAUGGCGUAAUGAUGGCCAGGCUGUCUCCACCCGAGACUCAGUGAAAUUGAACUCGCUGUGAAGAUGCAGUGUACCCGCGGCAAGACGGAAAGACCCCGUGAACCUUUACUAUAGCUUGACACUGAACAUUGAGCCUUGAUGUGUAGGAUAGGUGGGAGGCUUUGAAGUGUGGACGCCAGUCUGCAUGGAGCCGACCUUGAAAUACCACCCUUUAAUGUUUGAUGUUCUAACGUGGACCCGUAAUCCGGGUUGCGGACAGUGUCUGGUGGGUAGUUUGACUGGGGCGGUCUCCUCCUAAAGAGUAACGGAGGAGCACGAAGGUUGGCUAAUCCUGGUCGGACAUCAGGAGGUUAGUGCAAUGGCAUAAGCCAGCUUGACUGCGAGCGUGACGGCGCGAGCAGGUGCGAAAGCAGGUCAUAGUGAUCCGGUGGUUCUGAAUGGAAGGGCCAUCGCUCAACGGAUAAAAGGUACUCCGGGGAUAACAGGCUGAUACCGCCCAAGAGUUCAUAUCGACGGCGGUGUUUGGCACCUCGAUGUCGGCUCAUCACAUCCUGGGGCUGAAGUAGGUCCCAAGGGUAUGGCUGUUCGCCAUUUAAAGUGGUACGCGAGCUGGGUUUAGAACGUCGUGAGACAGUUCGGUCCCUAUCUGCCGUGGGCGCUGGAGAACUGAGGGGGGCUGCUCCUAGUACGAGAGGACCGGAGUGGACGCAUCACUGGUGUUCGGGUUGUCAUGCCAAUGGCACUGCCCGGUAGCUAAAUGCGGAAGAGAUAAGUGCUGAAAGCAUCUAAGCACGAAACUUGCCCCGAGAUGAGUUCUCCCUGAGACUUAGAGUCUCCUGAAGGAACGUUGAAGACGACGACGUUGAUAGGCCGGGUGUGUAAGCGCAGCGAUGCGUUGAGCUAACCGGUACUAAUGAACCGUGAGGCUUAACCUU